UACGGAGGGUGCAAGCGUUAUCCGGAUUCACUGGGUUUGAAGGGUGCGUAGGUGGGCAGGUAAGUCAGUGGUGAAAUCUCCGGGCUUAACCCGGAAACUGCCAUUGAUACUAUCGGUCUUGAAUACCGUGGAGGUGAGCGGAAUAUGUCAUGUAGCGGUGAAAUGCUUAGAUAUGACAUAGAACACCAAUUGCGAAGGCAGCUCACUACACGAAUAUUGACACUGAGGCACGAAAGCGUGGGGAUCAAACAGG
rnacentral:rRNA from 1 species